GACGAACGCUGGCGGCGUGCUUAACACAUGCAAGUCGAGCGGAAAGGCCCUUCGGGGUACUCGAGCGGCGAACGGGUGAGUAACACGUGAGUAACCUGCCCCAGACUUUGGGAUAACCCUCGGAAACGGGGGCUAAUACCGGAUAUGACAUGAGCUCGCAUGGGUUUGUGUGGAAAGUUUUUCGGUUUGGGAUGGGCUCGCGGCCUAUCAGCUUGUUGGUGGGGUGAUGGCCUACCAAGGCGACGACGGGGAGCCGGCCUGAGAGGGCGACCGGCCACACUGGGACUGAGACACGGCCCAGACCCCUACGGGAGGCAGCAGGUGGGGAAUAUUGCACAAUGGGCGGAAGCCUGAUGCAGCGACGCCGCGUGAGGGAUGACGGCCUUCG
rnacentral:rRNA from 1 species